GGGGUUUUUGUUUGGAGAGUUUGAUCCUGGCUCAGGACGAACGCUGGCGGCGUGCUUAACACAUGCAAG
rnacentral:rRNA from 1 species